UGCCCAGCAACUCCUAUCCCUACCUCCUCGUGGUACCGGCCGGAAACUAUGAGCAACUUUAGGGAAGAUUGGGUAACCAACCCCGGUGGGAACUUUAAUCAUAGGGUGACAGGGAAGG
rnacentral:ribozyme from 1 species